UACGGAGGGUGCAAGCAUUAAUCGGAAUUAUUGGGCGUAAAGGGCGCGUAGGCGGGAAGGCAAGUCAGAUGUGAAAUCCCGGGGCUCAACCCCGGAACAGCAUUUGAAACUUCCAAUCUAGAGGGUAGGCGGAGAAAAUGGAAUUCCACAAGUAGCGGUGAAAUGCGUAGAUAUGUGGAAGAACACCAGUGGCGAAGGCGAUUUUCUAGCUUAUACCUGACGCUGAGGCGCGAAAGCAAGGGGAUCAAACAGG
rnacentral:rRNA from 1 species